CAGCCGCCGCGGUAAAACGAAGGGUGCAAGCGUUACUCGGAAUUACUGGGCGUAAAGCGUGCGUAGGUGGUGGUUUAAGUCCGUUGUGAAAGCCCUGGGCUCAACCUGGGAAUUGCAGUGGAUACUGGGUCACUAGAGUGUGGUAGAGGAUAGUGGAAUUUCCGGUGUAGCAGUGAAAUGCGUAGAGAUCGGAAGGAACAUCUGUGGCGAAGGCGGCUCACUGGUCCAUUACUGACGCUGAGGUGCGAAAGCGUGGGGAGCAAACAGGAUUAGAGACCCCCGUAGUCCCUGUCUCUUAUAC
rnacentral:rRNA from 1 species